rnacentral:rRNA from 1 species
GAUGAACGCUGGCGGCGUGCCUAAUACAUGCAAGUCGAGCGAACAGACGAGGAGCUUGCUCCUCUGACGUUAGCGGCGGACGGGUGAGUAACACGUGGAUAACCUACCUAUAAGACUGGGAUAACUUCGGGAAACCGGAGCUAAUACCGGAUAAUAUAUUGAACCGCAUGGUUCAAUAGUGAAAGACGGUUUUGCUGUCACUUAUAGAUGGAUCCGCGCCGCAUUAGCUAGUUGGUAAGGUAACGGCUUACCAAGGCAACGAUGCGUAGCCGACCUGAGAGGGUGAUCGGCCACACUGGAACUGAGACACGGUCCAGACUCCUACGGGAGGCAGCAGUAGGGAAUCUUCCGCAAAGGGCGAAAGCCUGACGGAGCAACGCCGCGUGAGUGAUGAAGGUCUUCGGAUCGUAAAACUCUUUUAUUAGGGAAGAACAAAUGUGUAAGAAACUAUGCACGUCUUGACGGUACCGAAUCAGAAAGCCACGGCUAACUACGUG